rnacentral:rRNA from 1 species
AACUUUCGACAACGGAUCUCUUGGCUCUCGCAUCGAUGAAGAACGCAGCGAAAUGCGAUAAGUAAUGUGAAUUGCAGAAUUCAGUGAAUCAUCGAAUCUUUGAACGCACCUUGCGCCCUUUGGUAUUCCGAGGGGCAUGCCUGUUUGAGUGUCAUUGA